rnacentral:rRNA from 1 species
GACGAACGCUGGCGGCGUGCUUAACACAUGCAAGUCGAACGGAAAGGCCCUGCUUUUGUGGGGUGCUCGAGUGGCGAACGGGUGAGUAACACGUGAGUAACCUGCCCUUGACUUUGGGAUAACUUCAGGAAACUAGGGCUAAUACCGGAUAGGAGCUCCUGCUGCAUGGCGGGGGUUGGAAAGUUUCGGCGGUUGGGGCUGGACUCGGGGCAUAGCAGCUUGUUGGUGGGGUAGUGGCUUACCAAGGCGUUGACGGGUAGCCGGCCUGGGAGGGUGACAAGGCACAUUGGGAUUGGGGUGGGGGCAGGACGCAAACGGGAGGCAGGGGUGGGGAAUAGUGCGAAAUGGGCGGAGGCCGGGUGCAGCGACGCCGCGUGGGGGAUGACGGCUUUCGGGUUGGAAACGGCUUUCGCCGGAGACGAAGAGGGAGUGACGGUAAUGGGUAAGGAAGCAACGGCUAACUACGUG